GAUAAAGCGAAGAAGAGAAAUAGUAGAUAGUAAAGUCUUUUCAGAGAGAUUUCGGUUGGUGUGAGAAAUCAAGAACUAAUUAUCGAACACAUCUCAGAGCAUAGCACCGAGAAAGAAAGUUCAUGUAGGCUGCUACGGUAGUACCCGUUAUCGUACAAGGGUAUCGUCUUUUAAUAAGACUGUACUCUAUGAGGCUAGUAUCGUGAGGUACUAGUGAAGAGAGGUGGAACCACGGAAUUAAUACUCCCGUCCUCUAG
rnacentral:ncRNA from 1 species